rnacentral:rRNA from 1 species
GAUGAACGCUGGCGGCGUGCCUAAUACAUGCAAGUCGAGCGAACAGACGAGGAGCUUGCUCCUCUGACGUUAGCGGCGGACGGGUGAGUAACACGUGGAUAACCUACCUAUAAGACUGGGAUAACUUCGGGAAACCGGAGCUAAUACCGGAUAAUAUAUUGAACCGCAUGGUUCAAUAGUGAAAGACGGUUUUGCUGUCACUUAUAGAUGGAUCCGCGCCGCAUUAGCUAGUUGGUAAGGUAACGGCUUACCAAGGCAACGAUGCGUAGCCGACCUGAGAGGGUGAUCGGCCACACUGGAGCUGAGACACGGUCCAGACUCCUACGGGAGGCAGCAGUAGGGAAUCUUCCGAAAUGGGCGAAAGCCUGACGGAGCAACGCCGCGUGAGUGAUGAAGGUCUUCGGAUCGUAAAACGCUGUUAUUAGGGAAGAACAAAUGUGUAAGUAACGAUGCACGUCUUGACGGUACCGAAACAGAAGACCACGGCUACUACGUG